rnacentral:hammerhead_ribozyme from 1 species
AUCCAGUUGACCAAUCCCAAAUAGGACGAAACGCGUGUCCUGGAU